rnacentral:rRNA from 1 species
GUUGAACGCUGGCGGCAGGCUUAACACAUGCAAGUCGAGCGGAGAUGAGGUGCUUGCACCUUAUCUUAGCGGCGGACGGGUGAGUAAUGCUUAGGAAUCUGCCUAUUAGUGGGGGACAACAUUCCGAAAGGAAUGCUAAUACCGCAUACGUCCUACGGGAGAAAGCAGGGGAUCUUCGUACCUUGCGCUAAUAGAUGAGCCUAAGUCGGAUUAGCUAGUCGGUGGGGUAAAGGCCUACCAAGGCGACGAUCUGUAGCGGGUCUGAGAGGAUGAUCCGUCACACUGGGGAUGGGACACGGAGCAGACUCCUACGGGAGGCAGCAGUGGGGAAUAUUGGACAAUGUGGGAAACCCUGAUCCAGCCAUGCCGCGUGUGUGAAGAAGGCCUUAUGGUUGUAAAGCACUUUAAGCGAGGAGGAGGCUACUGAGACUAAUACUCUUGGAUAGUGGACGUUACUCGCAGAAUAAGCACCGGCUAACUCUGUGCCAGCAGCCGCCGUAAAAC